rnacentral:rRNA from 1 species
CAGUAGCCGCGGUAAAACGAAGGGGGCUAGCGUUGUUCGGAAUUACUGGGCGUAAAGCGCACGUAGGCGGAUAUUUAAGUCAGGGGUGAAAUCCCGCAGCUCAACUGCGGAACUGCCUUUGAUACUGGGUAUCUUGAGUAUGGAAGAGGUUAGUGGAAUUGCGAGUGUAGAGGUGAAAUUCGUAGAUAUUCGCAGGAACACCAGUGGCGAAGGCGGCUAACUGGUCCAUAACUGACGCUGAGGUGCGAAAGCGUGGGGAGCAAACAGGAUUAGAGACCCCUGUAGUCCCUGUCUCUUAUAA